UGUAUGGGCAAAGUUUUAAAAUGUAAUUACCCCCUCAAACAACCCAUUUUCACAUUUUAAUUCUACCUCGCUCCAAUCUCUUAUUCUCCCUCAAGCUCUUGCUCCUCCUCAAAGUAAUUCCAACCACCACAGCAAGCUAGCAGCCGCCAGACCGGCCACCCACCUGCCACCUGCGUUCAGCCGGCCGUCAGACUUCCCCGCCACCAGCAGGCCGCCGGUAGCAACCCUCCCCCGCGCGGGCCUCCUCUCUCUUUUCCUCCAUUUUUGUGCCCAGUUCAUAAGAGGGGCGUAAGAACCUCUUUUGAAGUGAUUUUACAACUUGUCAUCUUGCAGUUGCAGCGGGGAUAUCAUAAAUAAACAUUACAGGUGAUGGAGCUUCUAUGCAUUGCAUACGGGGGGAAUGCGUGAGAGUCUUGAAGUGUGCAAUAAUCUUAUUGUUUUGACUUUACCUGUAGUAUAUUUUCAUUCAGGUUGUUUAUGUUUUGAGUUUGAGGCACAUGUCCUUUUUGUAUAAGUUAUCUCCGCUGCGUUGUUUUUGUGGUUUGUAUGAUUUAAAUAGUUAUCGUUCUUUUUCUUUCUUCAAACUCAAGUGUUUACUUUGGAACCACGAUCCAUGCUUAGCAUGUCGACAUAGGAUUAGGUUAUGAACAUUUCGCCGUGAUAUUUUGUUACAAUGUCGAUGUUGCCUCUUCUUGUUUA